rnacentral:rRNA from 1 species
CACGUAGGGCGCAAGCGUUGUCCGGAAUUAUUGGGCGUAAAGAGCUCGUAGGCGGUCUGUUGCGUCCGCUGUGAAAACCCGGGGCUUAACCCCUGGCUUGCAGUGGAUACGGACAGACUAGAGGUAGGUAGGGGAGAAUGGAAUUCCCGGUGUAGCGGUGAAAUGCGCAGAUAUCGGGAGGAACACCGGUGGCGAAGGCGGGUCUCUGGGCAGUAACUGACGCUGAGGAGCGAAAGCGUGGGGAGGCGAA